rnacentral:lncRNA from 1 species
GAUUGCGAAUCCCCUCUGGCCGGUCUCUUUUCGCCGCAUGUCCCACUCACCACAGCAGGUGGUUAAAAAGUGGCAGACGGCUGACAGUGCCUUUAUUGCACCACGCCUUGAGCACCGUUCCGCUGUAGGUUCCAAAAGAGCCUCUUCGGAUCGCCUCGAUUUGAAAAGACUCCGGCGCACGCGCAUUAAAUGCCAAAAUAUCUGAGGACGAUCGCAC